AUUGAACGCUGGCGGCAGGCCUAACACAUGCAAGUCGAACGAGUGGCGGACGGGUGAGUAAUGUCUGGGAAACUGCCCGAUGGAGGGGGAUCACUACUGGAAACGGUAGCUAAUACCGCAUACCAUCAGAUGUGCCCAGAUGGGAUUAGCUAGUUGGUGGGGUAACGGCUCACCAAGGCGACGAUCCCUAGCUGGUCUGAGAGGAGGACCAUCCACACUGGAACUGAGACACGGGCCAGACUCCUACGGGAGGCGGCAGUGGGGAAUAUUGCACAAUGGGCGCGAGCCUGAUGCAGCCAUGCCGCGUGUAUGAAGAAGGCCUUCGGGUUGUAAAGUACUUUCAGCGGGGAGGCGUUACUCGCAGAAGAAGCACCGGCUAACUCCGUGCCAGCAGCCGCGGUAAUAC
rnacentral:rRNA from 1 species